CCGCCGCAAAGCCCCCGGGUCCCCCGCAGGUGCUGGUACUGGGCCCCCGGGCCCCCCAGGAGCUCGUACUCGGCCCCAGGGUCCCCCGCAGGGGCUCCUCCUGGCCCCCGGGUCCCCCGCAGGGGCUCCUCCUGAGCCCCCGGGUCCCCCGCAGGUGCUCCUCCUCGCCCCGGGUCCCCCGCAGGUGCUCCUCCUCGCCCCGGGUCCCCCGCAGGUGCUCCUCCUCGCCCGGGUCCCCGCAGGUGCUCGUACUCUACUCACCGCGCCGCAGCUCCGCACCGCGCCCAGGAGGCCGCUCGGUCCCCGCCCGUGUCCCCCGCCGCCGGCGCCGCCCGCCGCCUUCCCCCGCGGGAACAGCCACCUGGCCCGGGGCUCGAGCAGGGCGACCCCGAGGUCUGCGGCGUGGCGCCGCCCGGUCGCGGGGACGAGCACAGCGGGCGCGGAGGGGCUGUAACGCGGAGGCCCUAACCCGGGAGGCCGGGGCGGCCCAGGGCGCCAGGUGCGCCGGCGCCUCCCUCCCUCGCCUUGGCCCGGAGACUCACGUGACUCCCGCGGGCGCCCUCCGGCCGUUUGUCAAUCAGCCUGGAAAGGCCUCUGGGCCUUUGUAGAGACGGUUGCUCCUGCUGGGGAGCCCUGUGCCCCGCACCCUCUACAAGUCAAGGGGCCAGGUAGGAGUCCUGUUGUUCACGGUGACACAGGAGGCUGAGGCAUCUCACACAAUCGCAAAGGCUAUCUAAAAUGGAAUUUGUUGUGGCUAUCAAGAAAUUCAUCUGAACCACUAACCCCCCUGUGACAUCACAAGAUUUCCCCUGUAAUCACUAAGGCUUCCUAAAUGCGCCCAAAUCGGUUUUUUCCCCCUCUAUAUUUAUCUAAUAGGUAUUGAGUACCACGUGAGGCCGUGUGUUCCAGGCCUCUCAGACUUGAUUGCACAUUACCUUCACAGACGGGGUUUGGUUUUGUUUAGUUUUUGAAAUACUAAUAUCUCUGGAGAUGUGGCUUAGGAAUCCGUUUCUCCUCCAGGUGAUUCUAAUGUGAAGCCAGUCUCGAGAAUCACAUUCUAGAUCAAGGGUCAAGUUUUAUUCCUGGGAAGAAUUACCUGGAGAAUGAGUUAAAAAUCCAGGUUCCUGAUAUCUUGAUUUCGAUUUUGAGAAACAUUGCCUUAGUCUUCCACUGUGAGAUAUGUAACAUAUGGCUAUUUGAAUUCAAAUUAGUUUAUUUAUUCUUUUUUUUUUAAUUUUUAUUUAUUUAUGAUAGUCACAGAGAGAGAAAGAGAGAGAGGCAGAGACAUAGGCAGAGGGAGAAGCAGGCUCCAUGCACCGGAAGCCCGAUGAAUUCAAAUUAGAAUAAAAAUUCAGGAGUUCACUUGUACUGGACA
rnacentral:lncRNA from 12 species